GGACUCCAGGAUCGUGACCUGAGCCGAAGGCAGUCGCUUAACCAACUGAGCUGCCCAGGCGCCCUGAGAAAGGACAGGUUUCAGAAGCACCUGAAAUCAGGCCAGCAAUGGUUCCUUGGAAACUGUGAUAGAAAGUUCUCCAAGAGCAAAAUCUGAUAGUGUUCUCACUGAACUUUUUUAUUGUGAAAGACCCACGUACAGAAUUUACCAUUUUAUCCUCUCAGUUCAGUGGCCGCUAGUGUACUUGUCUCCGCUGUGCAGCAGACCCUGGAGCACCUGAUGGUGUUGGAAACUGCUGGUGCAGCAGCCCCUCGUCCCUCCUUCGGAUUCCCUGAAUUCACACAUUGACCAUCGGUCCUAGGUAGACGGGACCAGUCAGGUGUGAGGAGGGUCUUCGGAGAAGCCUUUCAUCCACAUGGCAAGUCUAACGGACACCUGGUGAGCUGUGUUCUCGUCACCCAGCUCCAGCUGGUGCUGUCUUACCGACCCUGUUGAAUCUGCUCCCACCCCCUUUCUUUGCUGGGGAUUUUUGAAGCAAUAGACGUGUUAAGUUUAGUAGGAGUCUUUUUUUAGCAGAUAAUUAUUAAAAUCCAGUAUCAAAUGA